UCGGGAAUUUUGGGCAAUGGGCGAAAGCCUGACCCAGCAACGCCGCGUGAAGGAUGAAGUAUUUCGGUAUGUAAACUUCGAAAGAAUAGGAGGAAUAAAUGACGGUACUAUUUAUAAGGUCCGGCUAACUACGUGCCAGCAGCCGCGGUAAUACGUAGGGACCAAGCGUUGUUCGGAUUUACUGGGCGUAAAGGGCGCGUAGGCGGCAAUUCAAGUCAUCUGUGAAAUCUCCGGGCUUAACUCGGAACGGUCAGAUGAUACUGCUUUGCUAGAGUGCAGAAGGGGCAAUCGGAAUUCUUGGUGUAGCGGUGAAAUGCGUAGAUAUCAAGAGGAACACCUGAGGUGAAGACGGGUUGCUGGGCUGACACUGACGCUGAGGCACGAAAGCUAGGGUAGCGAACGGGAUUAGAUACCCGUGUAGUCCCUGAGCGGGCUGGCAAGGCGCAU
rnacentral:rRNA from 1 species